CGGCAUCAGCUCAAAUUUGAAAUCUGGCUCUUUCAGAGUCCGAGUUGUAAUUUGCAGAGGGCGCUUUGGUGUCGGCAGCGGUCCAAGUUCCUUGGAACAGGACGUCACAGAGGGUGAGAAUCCCGUACGUGCCCGGUGGCCGCCCCCGUGUGAAGCUCCUUCGAC
rnacentral:rRNA from 1 species